rnacentral:rRNA from 1 species
AUUGAACGCUGGCGGCAGGCCUAACACAUGCAAGUCGAACGGAGUGGCGGACGGGUGUGUAAUGUAUGGGAAACUGCCUUGUAGGGGGGGAUAACGUCGGGAAAGGGGCGCUAAUACCGCAUACUAUCAGAUUAGCCUAGGUCGGGUUAGCUAGUUGGUGGGGUAAAGGCCUACCAAGGCGACGAUCCGUAACUGGUCUGAGAGGAUGAUCAGUCACACUGGAACUGAGACACGGUCCAGACUCCUACGGGAGGCAGCAGUGGGGAAUAUUGGACAAUGGGCGCAAGCCUGAUGCAGCAAUGCCGCGUGUGUGAAGAAGGUCUUCGGAUUGUAAAGCACUUUAAGUUGGGAGGCGUUACCAACAGAAUAAGCACCGGCUAACUUCGUGCCAGCCGCCGCGGUAAUUC